AUUUUUUUUUUUUUUUUUUUUUUUUUUUUUUUUUGUUUCC
rnacentral:ribozyme from 1 species